rfam:Camelus ferus unplaced genomic scaffold scaffold669, whole genome shotgun sequence.
GGGGGUAUAGCUCAGUGGUAGAGGGUGUGCUUGGUGUGCAUGGGGUCCUGGGUUCAAACCGCAGUGCCUCCA